UAUAGUUAAUAUAGUGGUGAGUAUUUCCACCUGUCACGUGGAAGGCCCGGGUUCGAUUCCCAGUCGAGGAG
rnacentral:tRNA from 1 species